AAUAGAUACCCUGGUAGUCCACGCCCUAAACGAUGUCUACUAGUUGUUGGUGGAGUAAAAUCCAUUAGUAACGCAGCUAACGCGUGAAGUAGACCGCCUGGGGAGUACGGUCGCAAGAUUAAAACUCAAAGGAAUUGACGGGGGGCCCGCACAAGCGGUGGAUUAUGUGGAUUAAUUCGAUGCAACGCGAAAAACCUUACCUGGCCUUGACAUGCCACUAACGAAGCAGAGAUGCAUUAGGUGCCCGAAAGGGAAAGUGGACACAGGUGCUGCAUGGCUGUCGUCAGCUCGUGUCGUGAGAUGUUGGGUUAAGUCCCGCAACGAGCGCAACCCUUGCCAAUAAUUGCCAUCAUUCAGUUGGGGCACUUUAUUGGGACUGCCGGUGACAAACCGGAGGAAGGUGGGGAUGACGUCAAGUCCUCAUGGCCCUUAUGGCCAGGGCUUCACACGUAAUACAAUGGUCGGUACAGAGGGUUGCCAACCGCGAGGGGAGCCAAUCCAGAAAGCCGAUCGUAGUCCGGAUUGCAGGCUGC
rnacentral:rRNA from 1 species